AAGGCCACUCACUCCCUCAUCUCUCUGCAGAUCACAGCUUCUUUGGCUCCGAGUGGCAGAGGAGAUGGUGCGUCCUCAACAAUUCCAUCUUCUUCUAUUUUUGCAGUGAGAAAGAUAAGCAACAGAAAGGCUCGUUUUACAUCAACGACUACAGCGUUCAGCUCGUCAACAACCUGAGGAAAGACUCCAAAAGGAACGCCUGCUUUGAGCUGUCUGCUCCCGGACGGAAGACUUACCAGUUUACGGCCAGCAGUGCUCAGGAGGCUCGAGAAUGGGUCAACUACAUCAGCUUUGUGCUCAGAGGUAAGUGGGCG